UUUGGUCGCCAACGAGUGGCGGACGGGUGAGUAACACGUAGGUAACCUGCCCAGAAGCGGGGGACAACAUUUGGAAACAGAUGCUAAUACCGCAUAACAGCGUUGUUCGCAUGAACAACGCUUAAAAGAUGGCUUCUCGCUAUCACUUCUGGAUGGACCUGCGGUGCAUUAGCUUGUUGGUGGGGUAACGGCCUACCAAGGCGAUGAUGCAUAGCCGAGUUGAGAGACUGAUCGGCCACAAUGGGACUGAGACACGGCCCAUACUCCUACGGGAGGCAGCAGUAGGGAAUCUUCCACAAUGGGCGCAAGCCUGAUGGAGCAACACCGCGUGAGUGAAGAAGGGUUUCGGCUCGUAAAGCUCUGUUGUUAAAGAAGAACACGUAUGAGAGUAACUGUUCAUACGUUGACGGUAUUUAACCAGAAAGUCACGGCUAACUACGUGCCAGCAGCCGCGGUAAUACGUAGGUGGCAAGCGUUAUCCGGAUUUAUUGGGCGUAAAGAGAGUGCAGGCGGUUUUCUAAGUCUGAUGUGAAAGCCUUCGGCUUAACCGGAGAAGUGCAUCGGAAACUGGAUAACUUGAGUGCAGAAGAGGGUAGUGGAACUCCAUGUGUAGCGGUGGAAUGCGUAGAUAUAUGGAAGAACACCAGUGGCGAAGGCGGCUACCUGGUCUGCAACUGACGCUGAGACUCGAAAGCAUGGGUAGCGAACAGGAUUAGAUACCCUGGUAGUCCAUGCCGUAAACGAUGAGUGCUAGGUGUUGGAGGGUUUCCGCCCUUCAGUGCCGGAGCUAACGCAUUAAGCACUCCGCCUGGGGAGUACGACCGCAAGGUUGAAACUCAAAGGAAUUGACGGGGGCCCGCACAAGCGGUGGAGCAUGUGGUUUAAUUCGAAGCUACGCGAAGAACCUUACCAGGUCUUGACAUCUUGCGCCAACCCUAGAGAUAGGGCGUUUCCUUCGGGAACGCAAUGACAGGUGGUGCAUGGUCGUCGUCAGCUCGUGUCGUGAGAUGUUGGGUUAAGUCCCGCAACGAGCGCAACCCUUGUUACUAGUUGCCAGCAUUAAGUUGGGCACUCUAGUGAGACUGCCGGUGACAAACCGGAGGAAGGUGGGGACGACGUCAGAUCAUCAUGCCCCUUAUGACCUGGGCUACACACGUGCUACAAUGGACGGUACAACGAGUCGCGAACUCGCGAGGGCAAGCAAAUCUCUUAAAACCGUUCUCAGUUCGGACUGCAGGCUGCAACUCGCCUGCACGAAGUCGGAAUCGCUAGUAAUCGCGGAUCAGCAUGCCGCGGUGAAUACGUUCCCGGGCCUUGUACACACCGCCCGUCACACCAUGAGAGUUUGUAACACCCAAAGUCGGUGGGGUAACCUUUUAGGAGCCAGCCGCCUAAGGUGGGACAGAUGAUUAGGGUGAAGUCGUAA
rnacentral:rRNA from 1 species